GGACGAACGCUGGCGGCGUGCUUACCACAUGCAAGUCGAACGGAAAGGCCUGCUUUCCCUUGUGGAUUGCGGGUACUCGAGUGGCGAACGGGUGAGUAACACGUGAGUGAUCUGCCCCCAACUUGGGUAUAAGCCUGGGAAACUGGGUCUAAUUCCCGAUAGGACUGCAGGGUGGUGCCUGUGGUGGAAAACGAUUUUCUAGUGGUUGGGGAUGAGCUCGCGGCCUAUCAGCUUGUUGGUGGGGUAAUGGCCUACCAAGGCGGCGACGGGUAGCCGGCCUGAGAGGGUGGACGGCCACAUUGGGACUGAGAUACGGCCCAGACUCCUACGGGAGGCAGCAGUGGGGAAUAUUGCACAAUGGGCGGAAGCCUGAUGCAGCGACGCCGCGUGGGGGAUGACGGCCUUCGGGUUGUAAACUCCUUUCGACCGCGAGGAAGCCACCUGGUUGGAAGGGUGGUGACGGUAGUGGUAGAAGAAGCACCGGCUAACUACGUG
rnacentral:rRNA from 1 species